CUUUCAAUUGAUUUUUCUUCAAUUCUCUAAUUUGGUAUUGGUUUUCUAUUCUAAUAGCUUAAAUUACUGAUAUGAGGAUAAGGUUGUUUGGGUUCUUGUAAGAUUACAUCCAAAAUUAUUUCAUGAUGGUGGGAGUUUCUUAAUUAGAUAAGAGACUUGAUAGUUCUCAUCUGAUGUCGAGCCCCCUCUAUGAAUCUCUUGGAUCAAAUUUUGGAAAUGAUGGAUUUGAUCAUUAAUAGGGAUAUUGUCUACCAUCUUAAAGUUGCUAAGUCACUAAUGAUAAAUCUCAUGGCCUCCUCAUUAUCUCUACUGUAGGUAUCUUUUAGCACAAUCUA
rnacentral:lncRNA from 1 species